UGGGGAAUAUUGGACAAUGGGGGCAACCCUGAUCCAGCCAUGCCGCGUGAGUGAUGAAGGCCUUAGGGUUGUAAAGCUCUUUCGGCGGGGACGAUAAUGACGGUACCCGCAGAAGAAGCCCCGGCUAACUUCGUGCCAGCAGCCGCGGUAAUACGAAGGGGGCUAGCGUUGCUCGGAAUCACUGGGCGUAAAGCGCACGUAGGCGGAUCUUUAAGUCAGGGGUGAAAUCCCGAGGCUCAACCUCGGAACUGCCCUUGAUACUGGGGAUCUCGAGUCCGGAAGAGGUUGGUGGAACUCCGAGUGUAGAGGUGAAAUUCGUAGAUAUUCGGAAGAACACCAGUGGCGAAGGCGGCCAACUGGUCCGGCACUGACGCUGAGGUGCGAAAGCGUGGGGAGCAAACA
rnacentral:rRNA from 1 species